CUUCCUGUGGGGCCUUAGAGCUGGUUGCUGGCUGGCCCUCUUGAUCCUGAGCUCUCAGCAUUUUAUAGUCUGUCUCAGGCUUCCUUAUAUGGCUAUGGGAACCACACAAGGUAGAAAUGUCACAAGGUCUCUUAACGCCCAGCCUUGGAAGUCAUGCAGCACUGCUCCCUGCACAUCCUGCUGGCCACGGCAAGUCACAAGGACAGGGUCUCACAAUGUCCAGGCUGGCUUUGAACUCACUAUGUACCCCAGGCUGGCCUCCAACUUAUGGAGAUCCUCCUGCCUCGGCCUUCCCAGGGCUGGGAUUACAGAUACGCUUCUGGGUGUUGGGAGCCUACGUGUGUUAUCAGAGGAAGUGGAGCUUAUGUUAGCCCUGGUAGGCGGAUACGAUGAUGCCAACCUUCCUGUGGCAGGACCAGCGCUUUGCCAUCUGGAACAGGAAGACUUCUGAUGUCACUUCGUGGGACUUUCUAGCACGAAGUAACUGUGGCCGUCACAGACUUUUCAAGUACACCUGGAAUCUUCACAGACGCUGGCCAGUUUUUUCUUAACAAAACAAUUGUAAAGUCAAAGCUUAAACAAAAAAAUGUUUUCUGACACUCUGUACUUCAAGAGGAAAUCAGUAACAAAAAGAUUUUUAAACACUUUAAAAAUAACACAUGGGUAACGAAUGCACUGUGUGGGUGCUUCAGGAUAUGCUUAGAAGUAAAUGAUAAUUAAAAUUCCAUGUAUUAGAAAGUAUGAGAAGCUUCAAAGUGCUGAAAAUCAAUAAGCCAAACACACGGCACAGACAUCAGCAGAGAAGGGCUGAGUAAACUCGAAGAAUGAGGAGGAGGGCAUGUUAUUGAUAAACGCAGAAAUAAGUGAAAUAGAAAACAGCCAUCAGUAGGUGACUUAAGGUCAAAUUCUGCUUUUUAACAAGGUUAAAGCAGGGCGACAGGAUGUAUAAAUUGUAGCGGGAAAAAAACAGCACACUCAGGAGAGUGUGACUAGCUUUGUGUCCAGAACCCUGAAAGUGUAACUCAGAGGCAUGCGUUUUACAUUUCCAAGCAGCAACAUUUGGCUUCAGGAGAAACAGAAAAAUACCAACAACCUUCUAACCAUUUAAAAAAUUAAAUUGAUGCUCAAAGAUCAUCACAGCAAAGAAACAUCAGGACCAGACUUUAAAAAGAAAAGUCAGGGGCGUUUACCAAAUGAACACUUUCAGUCAAACACAAAUUCUUCCAGCGAGUAGAAAAAUAUCACCGUCUCCUAAU